AGCGCAGGCUGCCAGAUAAGUCAGAUGUGAAAGCCCGGGGCUCAACCCCGGAAGUGCAUUUGAAACUGUUUGGCUUGAGUAUGGUAGAGGGAAGUGGAAUUCCAGGUGUAGCGGUGAAAUGCGUAGAUAUCUGGAGGAACACCGGUGGCGAAGGCGACUUCCUGGACCAAUACUGACGCUGAGGCUCGAAGGUGUGGGUAGCAAACAGGAUUAGAUACCCUGGUAGUCC
rnacentral:rRNA from 1 species